AACGAACGCUGGCGGCAUGCCUAACACAUGCAAGUCGAACGAGACCUUCGGGUCUAGUGGCGCACGGGUGCGUAACGCGUGGGAACCUGCCUUUAGGUUCGGAAUAACUCAGAGAAAUUUGAGCUAAUACCGGAUGAUGUCUUCGGACCAAAGAUUUAUCGCCUUUAGAUGGGCCCGCGUUGGAUUAGCUAGUUGGUGGGGUAAAGGCCUACCAAGGCGACGAUCCAUAGCUGGUCUGAGAGGAUGAUCAGCCACACUGGGACUGAGACACGGCCCAGACUCCUACGGGAGGCAGCAGUGGGGAAUAUUGGACAAUGGGCGAAAGCCUGAUCCAGCAAUGCCGCGUGAGUGAUGAAGGCAUUAGGGUUGUAAAGCUCUUUUACCCGAGAUGAUAAUGACAGUAUCGGGAGAAUAAGCUCCGGCUAACUCCGUG
rnacentral:rRNA from 1 species